rnacentral:rRNA from 1 species
GUGCCAGCCGCCGCGGUAAGACAGAGGGUGCAAACGUUGUUCGGAAUUACUGGGCGUAAAGCGAGUGUAGGCGGUCUCAUAAGUCGGGUGUGAAAGCCCUGGGCUCAACCCAGGAAGUGCACUCGAUACUGCGAGGCUAGAGUAUCGGAGAGGUUGGUGGAAUUCUCGGUGUAGAGGUGAAAUUCGUAGAUAUCGAGAGGAACACCGGUGGCGAAGGCGGCCAACUGGACGAAUACUGACGCUGAGACUCGAAAGCGUGGGGAGCAAACAGGAUUAGAAACCCCUGUAGUCC